AUGCGAUAAGUAAUGUGAAUUGCAGAAUUCAGUGAAUCAUCGAAUCUUUGAACGCACCUUGCGCUCCUUGGUACUCCGAGGAGCAUGCCUGUUUGAGUGUCAUUAACUUCUCAACUAUACAAGUUUUUUUUAAACCUGUAUAGCUUGGAUCUUGGGAUCUGCGGGCUUUGACCAAGUCGGCUAUCCUUAAAUGCAUUAGCAGAGCUUUUGCCGCUGACCCUCCGGUGUGAUAAUUAUCUACGCCAUUGAGAGGCGACAUCUUAAAGCUAAGCUUCUAAAUGUCCUUUGGGACAACAUUUGACAAUCUGACCUCAAAUCAGGUAGGACUACCCGCUGAACUUAA
rnacentral:misc_RNA from 1 species